rnacentral:lncRNA from 1 species
CCCAAGAAGAUGAAUUAUUGAAACAGGGGUUCACCUUCUGUUGUGUAGGGCUGUUGUUUCACAGUCAGAGUGCAUCCAAGUCAGGGCUCUGCCAGAAAUGAAGCACGGAGGAGCCACCAGUUGGUCCCUUUCUUUCAAAGGACACCAGUUCUUCACCAUCCCUGCAGCAACCUCUCUCAUCUCAGCCUCCUGCCAAGGUUUCAGAUCUCAGGGAGACACAGGCUCAUUGGCACGCACCGACGAUCACUGAGCCAACUUUGGAAGUCGUGGAUUUCUGAGCCGGCCUUGCAUAGGGCAGGCACCUGCCUUUGGCUGAGUGGUGUGAAAGAUGUUGGCAGCAGCUCAGCCUGCGCUGGUCCGGGGUCUCCAUGAACCUCCUCUCUGCAGCUCCUGACCUCCGGGGUCCUGUGUGGACUCCUGCACCCACCUGCUGCUGCCCCCCGCACAGCUCCUGUGACCCACUGGCUGGCACAGAGGAGCAGGUGGGCCCUCGUACACCUUGUACCCACUGACUCCUGCAGCUUGAAAUGUGAAUAUUGACCUGAAUU